CACGUAGGGCGCAAGCGUUGUCCGGAAUUAUUGGGCGUAAAGCGCUCGUAGGCGGUCUGUUGCGUCCGCUGUGAAAACUCGGGGCUUAACCCCGAGCCUGCAGUGGAUACGGGCAGACUAGAGGUAGGUAGGGGAGAAUGGAAUUCCCGGUGUAGCGGUGAAAUGCGCAGAUAUCGGGAGGAACACCGGUGGCGAAGGCGGUUCUCUGGGCCUUACCUGACGCUGAGGCGCGAAAGCUAGGGGAGCAAACGGG
rnacentral:rRNA from 1 species